AUAUGACAUAAAAUUUGUGUUUACACAAGCCGGGAGAGUGGAAGUUCGGGGUAAACAGAUAUGUUUUGACACAUUCACCUCAACUGCUGGCAAGGCGCUGUGUUCAGCUAAGGGCUUUAUAUAUUCUUCCCAUGAAAGUGCCCUUGUCUACCUAACGAUUCCGUACGCAGAUAUAUUUUGCUCUGCACCAGAUCUGACUUCCUGUUCAUUAAAGACCCCAAAAACCUAUUGUCGUAAUGUUGUCUACAUCCACUGUUCUACACACACGACGCUAAAACCAAAAUCAGAAUCAAGUCUUUUUACUUCAGGAAUCACAACGACGAGCUUUCCGG